AGCGAACGCUGGCGGCAGGCCUAACACAUGCAAGUCGAACGAACCCUUCGGGGUUAGUGGCGGACGGGUGAGUAACACGUGGGAACGUACCCUUAGGUUCGGAAUAACUCAGGGAAACUUGAGCUAAUACCGAAUGUGCCCUUCGGGGGAAAGAUUUAUCGCCUUUGGAGCGGCCCGCGUCUGAUUAGCUAGUUGGUGAGGUAAAGGCUCACCAAGGCUACGAUCAGUAGCUGGUCUGAGAGGAUGGCCAGCCACACUGGGACUGAGACACGGCCCGGAAUCCUACGGGAGGCAGCAGUGGGGAAUCUUGCGCAAUGGGCGAAAGCCUGACGCAGCCAUGCCGCGUAGAUGAUGAAGGUCUUAGGAUUGUAAAAUCCUUUCACCGGUGAAGAUAAUGACUGUAGCCGGAGAAGAAGCCCCGGCUAACUUCGUGCCAGCCGCCGCAGUAAAAC
rnacentral:rRNA from 1 species